AAGUCUGUUAGAGCACGUGGAGCGUUAAGAUCCUGAAACUGAGGACUACUGAUGUGUUUAACGCGGCGUGACUACUGAUGGGUUUAUCGCGGCGUGUUUCACAAGAUCCGAAUGUUGUACGCGGGUGGAGAGUCGACUCACACCUCCUCACAAGUCCUGUGCAGGAUGUCAGGGCCGAUUGACUUCAUCCUGAGAUUAAGACCUCAUCUUGGUCCGAUCAAGCCGGAAGGACGAGCGAAGUUUGCGGUCCCUGAGGGGCUGGAGCGGGCGGUAGUUGUUCACCAUCACAUCCUCUUCCUCACCUCGCCCGGAGAACAAGAGUGUGCGGAACGUGGAUAGCUGGAACGGAGAACAGCCGCGGUGAGCUGACACAGGCACAGAGAGAUCCACGUGCCGGGUGACCCCUCCCACACUGACCAACAGAACUCAGUAUAAUGAACCCGUGACUCCGCGAAGUCCAAGGGAUCACUAAAGGCACAGUGGCCACCACUCCAUUGGGUUUGGAGAGCCCAUAGACACGAGGGGAACCCAGUGGUUCCAAUGAACCAAGAGGGAACUGAGGCCCAGCCAACAGCCAGCACCUACUUGCCAGCCACUGAGUGAGCCACUAGGUAGGGAAGGAAUCCCCUGGGUAUGUGCCAUGAUAUACAUCUUUCUGUUAAUGUAUACAUUUACACCCCACCCCCAAUGAACUGUGAUGAGAUGGACAGGAACUCAUCGGGGCCAAUUAACCACUUUCUUUUUUCCUGAGAAAGAAAACGACCCUUCCCUGAGGGGAACAGAAAGGUCCCAUCGAGACUUGUUCUUAUACAGAUGGGCCUUCUCAGGCACAGCCUGGCUGAGCUGUUGAACUCAGGACAAUGUUCACACCUGGACCUUAGGGAAUAUGACGUAUGCUGGCUUCACACAUGAUGUAUGCCGCUUCAUACGUGACGUAUGGUACCUCAAAAUAUUAUCAUGGGGCCUUGCACUCGGUGACUCUCAUGCAAACAGAAAACCCUUCUAGCAGUUCGGGAACACCUCAAAUACUCCAGCGGGGCCAGGGAGGCAUGGCACAGUCGGUAUCCUGCUUGAGUUUGAGCCUAGCAUGCAUGGUGGUGCGCUCUUGCAAUCCUAGCUUAGCAUGCAUGGUGGUGCGCUCUUGCAAUCCCAGCCUAGCAUGCAUGAUGGUGCGCUCUUGCAAUCCCAGCCUAGCAUGCAUGGUUGUGCGCUCUUGCAAUCCCAGCCUAGCAUGCAUGGUGGUGCGCUCUUGCAAUCCUAGCCUAGCAUGCAUGGUUGUGCGCUCUUGCAAUCCCAGGCUAGCAUGCAUGAUGGUGCGCUCUUGCAAUCCCAGCCUAGCAUGCAUGGUUGUGCGCUCUUGCAAUCCCAGCCUAGCAUGCAUGGUGGUGCGCUCUUGCAAUCCCAGCCUAGCAUGCAUGGUGGUGCGCUCUUGCAAUCCCAGCCUAGCAUGCAUGGUGGUGCGCUCUUGCAAUCCCAGCCUAGCAUGCAUGGUGGUGCGCUCUUGCAAUCCCAGCCUAGCAUGCAUGGUGGUGCACUCUUGCAAUCCCAGCACUGGGGAGGCGGAGCCAGGGGAACCUGGUGCUUAGUAGUCAGCAAGCCUAGCCUCGUGGGUGAGUUUCAGGUCAAUGAGACACCCUGUCACAAAGCACAAGACGAGUGGUACCCAGAGAGUGACAGCCAGGACUUGACUUGAGACCUCCACAACACAAACAUGGGUGGACCAGAAAAUGGAGUCCAGCAAUGCCCUACCAUGACACCUCAAUGAAGAGGCAGGUAAAAAUGACCUCUCUUGGGGCUGUGACACAGCUGGAGUGCUCACCUGGCUCGGGGACACCUCAACAGGCGUCUUCUGCACAAUCCAGGUGACUGACUCAGCAAGUGGCGGGGUGGUGAGGGAGCCAGGGUAGGUCCAGUAAUCCCGGCAGGCAGGCAGCAGACAAGAGGGGUCAAAGGGUCCCAUGGCCACCUGUGUAUCCUGACAACGAGAACCACAGCCCCAACAAUCAGGGGGUCUGUCAUAUAUGGGGGCCUUUCCGUCUUACCACAGCUUUGAUGGCCAAACGAGUGUUCUGGACACAGGUCAUUGUCAUAUGUGGAAACAUAAAGAAAAGGUGACUCUUCUUUACAAAAAAGGGACUCUUACCAAAUGGUUGUAUUUCCCCUGAAAGUUAUGCCUUCCUAUAUACCUUGGCUGAGAAGAUGUGUUGGUACAUAUAUAUGGGGGUACCAUUUUUGACAUUUUAAAAAUAUUUAUUGAAUGUAUAUGAGCACACUGUAGUUGUUUUAAGACACACCAGAAGAGGACAUCAGAACCCAUUACAGAUGGUUGUGCUCCACCAUGUGGUUGCUGGGAUUUGAACUCAGGACCUCUGGAAGAGCAGUCAGUGCUGUUAAUCUCUGAGCCAUCUCUCCAGCCCCAUGUUUUACAUUUUCAAGUGUGCAAUUUGGGGGUUUUGAGAACAUUCACUUCAUGCAGUCACCACCCACAUUGACCUCCAGAACUUUCUCUGCCUCAUUAAACACUGCCUCCCAUUCUUCCUUGACCUCUGGAAGCCACAGUCUACUCCCUAGCUCUGACCCUGCAGACCCAUGGAAGCCAACGUGUCUCCUUUGUGCAGCCUUGGCUGGCCUGGACUCACAGAGAUCUGGGGUUAAAGGCUGUGCUUCCACGGCUGGCUUUGCACCUGGCCUAUUUUACUGAGCAUUGUGAUGUUGUCAUUGGGGUUUAUCAUGCACAGUAGGUGUUAGAACAGCUAGCCUGCCUGCCUGCCUGCCUGCCUGCCUGCCUCCCUCCCUUCCUCCCUCCCUCCCUCCCUCAUCCCAUUUUGGUUUGUUUUUUUGUUUUGUUUUGUUUUGUUUUUUUAAGACAGGGUUUCUCUCCCUGAACUUUCUCUGUAGACCAGGCUAGCCUCAAACUUAGAGAUCUACAGCCUCUGCCUCCCAAGUGCUGGGAUUAAAGGCCUAUGACACAAUACCCAGCUGAGAUGGGGUCUUGUGUAGCCCAGGUAUCCUCAAAAUAUGUUAGACAGGGAUAAAUUUGAAUUCCUGAUCCUCCUGCCUCCUCCUCCUCCUCCUGAGUGCCAAAAUUACUGACAUGAGCAAGGAUGUUCUGUGCGUCCUGUGUUAUGGCUGGCUGAGAAGCAUCCACCAUGUGACUAGGCUGUGUUUCAUCUGCAUCCACCCAUGUUGGCCACUUGGCCUGCUUCUCCCUUGUGGCUAUCUUAAAAGUACUUCCAGAAUGGGAGGGGGUGGGCGCCGGUGGCUUCGGGCAACUUUCAGUUCUCAGGGUGAGUACACAUACAUGAGAUUGCUGGGCCAGGUGGACUCUCUUGUUUGUUUUUGUUUUUCUUCUUUUAGUUUUAAGGACCCAUAGUGUGUUUUCAACAGUUGUUGCACCAAUAAAUCUUACAGUUUUAAAACAGCAGCCUGCCACUGGGUACACUGGUGCACACUUUAAAUCUCAGCCCUUGGGAGGUAGAGGCAGGUGGAUCUCUUGAGUUAAGGCCAGCCUGGUCCACAGAG
rnacentral:lncRNA from 1 species